rnacentral:rRNA from 1 species
UGGUAAGGGGAUACAAAAAGGUUUGAUUUGGGGCGGAACGAGAAUAGCUUGCUAUUCGGCGUCGAGCGGCGGACGGGUGAGUAAUGCAUAGGAAGUUGCCCAGUAGAGGGGGAUAACCAUUGGAAACGAUGGCUAAUACCGCAUAACCUCUUCGGAGCAAAGCGGGGGACCUUCGGGCCUCGCGCUGCUGGAUACGCCUAUGUGGGAUUAGCUAGUUGGUGAGGUAAAGGCUCACCAAGGCGACGAUCCCUAGCUGGUCUGAGAGGAUGAUCAGCCACACUGGGACUGAGACACGGCCCAGACUCCUACGGGAGGCAGCAGUGGGGAAUAUUGCACAAUGGGCGAAAGCCUGAUGCAGCCAUGCCGCGUGUAUGAAGAAGGCCUUCGGGUUGUAAAGUACUUUCAGUUGUGAGGAAGGUUUCGUAGUUAAUAACUGCGUUGCUUGACGUUAGCAACAGAAGAAGCACCGGCUAACUCCGUGCCAGCAGCCGCGGUAAUACGGAGGGUGCGAGCGUUAAUCGGAAUUACUGGGCGUAAAGCGCAUGCAGGUGGUUUGUUAAGUCAGAUGUGAAAGCCCGGGGCUCAACCUCGGAAGGUCAUUUGAAACUGGCAAACUAGAGUACUGUAGAGGGGGGUAGAAUUUCAGGUGUAGCGGUGAAAUGCGUAGAGAUCUGAAGGAAUACCAGUGGCGAAGGCGGCCCCCUGGACAGAUACUGACACUCAGAUGCGAAAGCGUGGGGAGCAAACAGGAUUAGAUACCCUGGUAGUCCACGCCGUAAACGAUGUCUACUUGGAGGUUGUGGCCUUGAGCCGUGGCUUUCGGAGCUAACGCGUUAAGUAGACCGCCUGGGAGUACGGUCGCAAGAUUAAACUCAAUGAAUUGACGGGGCCCGCACAGCGGUGGAGCAUGUGGUUUAAUUCGAUGCACGCGAGAACCUUACCUACUUCUUGACAUC